CUUUUGCACAUUACUAGCAGACCAGCCUGUAGACCCCGUGACCAAACUCUGGGAACAAAGGUUUGAAAGUGGUUUCGGGCUCCCUGAUGGAUUUUGAUCAUUUUUUACUUGGGUUGUCUUCAAACAUCCAGGCAUUUUCGGGAGGGGGCAACAAAGGUCAAACAAGGGUG